AGAUAUGUAAGAUUAGGAUAUUCUAAAAUGGAUAUUGAAUUUGUCGCUUAUGCCUUGAGUUAUUUAACCAGCUUAUGAUGAGGAUUAUUUUUGUUGUAUAUGAGUCUUCCAACAAUGAGGCUUAAUUUCAUAUUAAGAUUUAUGCUUGUGGCUUCUUCAACUUAACGCUGUAGAAUGUUUAUCUGUUUAUUGUAUAAUUUCCAAAUAUCCAUCAUCUGUUGCAGGAUUACUUUAUAAAACAAGAGUAGCUAUCAUUGUCAUCAUCGUCAUUGUUAUAUUUUUAUGUGGAUUUUAGGGUAUUGUUACACCUAGAUAUUUAGUUUUUCUUAAUGCAGAAACCUAGGUGGCCUUUUUUUUCUUGUUGAAUGUUAUUUCUGCUUCGAGAUUGAGAAAAAUAGGAUACUAAAAUGCCAUAUGAUUUAGUGCCUUAACCGGGAGCAUUAUAUCAAAUGUACAAAAUGCAUACAAAUCAAUUAACUCAUAAAAAUCUUGUCUGCACUCUCGAGUCUCUAGCAGUGUUACUAGACUUUGUGAGUUAU
rnacentral:misc_RNA from 1 species